AUGAUGGAGAGUUUGAUCCUGGCUCAGGACGAACGCUGGCGGCGUGGAUUAGGCAUGCAAGUCGAACGGUAGUUUCCUUUCGGGGAAAUGAGAGUGGCGAACGGGUGAGUAACACG
rnacentral:rRNA from 1 species